GCGGAAGUAGUUCAGUGGUAGAACAUCACCUUGCCAUGGUGGAGGUCGCGGGUUCGAAUCCCGUCUUCCGCU
rnacentral:tRNA from 5 species